UUGGAGAGGAUGUCGGAACGGUGGCUGCCCUGUUUUGACGAGGCGGAGUGGCCGUCGGCAACAGUGAAGCUUCCAGAGAGGCGUACACAACAGAGGAGCAGGCGACGAUUCAUGGAGACUUGAGAGCCAACAUCGACUUCCGAAGGCGUGCAGCGGCGCUUGGUAACGACAGCCCACAUGGGCCUAUUACUCAUCGGGAAUCAGGGAGAAUCCGUUGGAACCCCGUGACGGUGGCACUCAGGAGCCGGAGCCGGUAGCACGGCGGACGGACUCUAAGAGAGGCAGCAACGGUUCGCCUGAAUCAGCAGAGAGCUAGGGCUCGUUCCGAAGGGGGAAACUCGCCUGUGCAUUUCGGUGAGAGAGUAAGAGGUAGAGUGAGCGACGAUCCUUCUGAGAAGAGAGCAGACGACACGAGCCGGCCACUGCUCGCUGGAAAUCGAAAGCAGCAGUGAUGAUUUUGAUGAGAGUGUUAGGGCUCAUUUCGAAAGGGGAAACCAGGGCACGAUAUGAGAAAGGAAUUGGAAUUGAGAGAAAAGAGAGAAAGAAGAGCAGAUGUGGCGGGGAAGCAGCGCCGGUGACCGGCGUGACGGCGACCUCGCCGGUCUUCCAGAUGCGGCGGCUUUCUCAAAGGGGGAGAGAGGAAUUGAAAGAAAGAGUGUGGAGAAUGAAGGCUGCGCGAGUUCAAGGAAAUUUGCGUGCACUAAUUCCAAAUGGGCUGCUAUACUUGGGCCAAGUUUUACUUAAAAGAAUAAGUGAUGAAGUUGGGCCUCUGCACAUAUUCUAGUUGGGCUGCAUUCAUGGAUCAGGAUUUAAUGGAGAUGGGCUGACCUAUUUGAGAGCUAUAUAUUUCAGCUGGGCCAGAGUUAGAGUGA
rnacentral:lncRNA from 1 species